GCGGGAUAGCUCAGUCGGUAGAGCAUGGGACUCAUAAGCCUAGGGUCAUCGGUUCAAGUCCGAUUCCCGCC
rnacentral:tRNA from 1 species